AUUAAACGCUGGCGGCAUGCCUUACACAUGCAAGUCGAACGGCAGCACGGGGGCAACCCUGGUGGCGAGUGGCGGACGGGUGAGUAACACAUCGGAACGUGCCCUGGAGUGGGGGAUAACGCAGCGAAAGCUACGCUAAUACCGCAUAUUCUGUGAGCAGGAAAGCAGGGGAUCGCAAGACCUUGCGCUUUGGGAGCGGCCGAUGUCGGAUUAGCUAGUUGGUGGGGUAAAGGCUUACCAAGGCGACGAUCCGUAGCGGGUCUGAGAGGAUGAUCCGCCACACUGGGACUGAGACACGGCCCAGACUCCUACGGGAGGCAGCAGUGGGGAAUUUUGGACAAUGGGCGGAAGCCUGAUCCAGCCAUGCCGCGUGAGUGAAGAAGGCC
rnacentral:rRNA from 1 species